rfam:Rattus norvegicus chromosome 14, whole genome shotgun sequence.
GGAUUUAGCUCAGUGGUAGAGCGCUUGCCUAGCAAGCACAAGGCCCUGGGUUCGAUCCCCAGAUCUG